rnacentral:lncRNA from 1 species
ACACACAAAUUCACGUAGUAUACCAGUAAUUCUCACGCAUUAUUGAAUAAGAAUAACAUAUUUUAUAAAAAUUAUAUUAAAAUAUCAAAUAGUGGAAUAUUCAUAUCUACUUUGGAUAUGUUGCAAAUUGAUAUCCAUAAGGUACAAACCAAUGCAACUAGGAGGGUCCUUUUUUGUAUUUUUAAAUUUUUUUAUUAUUUUAAAAAAAAAAAAAAAAAAAGCGUACAGCCGCACGGCUAUACUCAGUUUUGAAAUUUUUAUUAAAAAGAAACGUGUUGACACGUGGGCAUAAUGGCUGGGGUUUUUUUUAUUUAAAAAUAGUAUAGCUGCCCGGCUACACUCUAUUUUGAAUUUUUUUAAAAGAAAUAUAUGUGUUGACACGUGGCUCCUAUUGGUUGGGGGACUUUUUUCACAUUUAAAAAUAGUAUAGCCGCUCGGCUAUCCUCUGUUUUG